AGAUGACAGAAAUGUUGGUGGUAUAGUGGCUGGUGUUAUCAUUGCGCUGCUCAUCGUGGCUUUCAUUGGGAUCGGCCUGUGGUUUGCGUACCGUAAGGGAUACAUCGGACAAAAACGGCCAACGAAACAAAAGGUGAUCUACAGUCAGCCACCAGCUGAUGAAGUGGAUGAUAAUGACUUCAAACAGAAAUCUUCAUUUGUCGUCUAACCCACUCCAUCAAAGCAAGACCCACGCUGGGACACAUAACCAGCCCCCUUCCCCCCCCACCCUCACCCUCCCUCCCCCACUCCCUCAUUCCCUCCGGCCCCGUGGAGGAGGGGUCCCUCGUUAACCCAGCAUUUCCCUGAGAAUCCGAACUCGACGGGAAACUGGUGGGAUUGAGGUCUUAUCGUGGAAAAACAAAAUCAUCUUUCUUCUCACGCACAGUCUUUUCAGACUUGAUGAUUUUUUAAUUAACUGUACAAAAUGUGGCUUUGUGAAUAUUAACCAUCAGUUUGGAUACAGCUUGUCCCUGUUUUGUAACUCCAUUCCGCACCUGCCCAGAUAACUGUGUAGAGGGAGCUUUCCUGGCAUUUUAAAAGAGUAAGAGGUAGCUUUUCCUCCCUAUCUAACCCCGUGCUGUCCCUGUCCUGGGAGUGUUUGAUGGGGGACAGUGUAGAGGGAGCUUUACUCUGUAUCUAACCCCGUGCUGUCCCUGCCCUGGGAGUGUUUGAUGGGGGGACGGUGUAUAAUAUUUGAUUCUGGUGUGUAGCUCUGACCCCUUUGCUGUUUUAAAUAUUUAUUGUAACGGUGAUUUGAAGCUGUGCAGCUGCACCUUUCCACAUGCUUUUUGUUUUUCAGUUUUGUAAUGUAUUUUUUUAAAACCUGUCCUUCAGCACCGUGAAUAAAAAUAAUUUGUGCUCCA